GACGUAGGGCGCGAGCGUUGUCCGGAUUUAUUGGGCGUAAAGAGCUCGUAGGCGGCUUGUCGCGUCGUUCGUGAAAACCCGGGGCUCAACUCCGGGCUUGCGGGCGAUACGGGUAGGCUAGAGUUCGGUAGGGGAGACUGGAAUUCCUGGUGUAGCGGUGAAAUGCGCAGAUAUCAGGAGGAACACCAGUGGCGAAGGCGGCUCACUGGCCCGAUACUGACGCUGAGGUGCGAAAGCGUGGGGAGCAAACAGG
rnacentral:rRNA from 1 species